rnacentral:lncRNA from 1 species
ACAAGUUGACUAUAAAUUUAAGCAGUUGUGGCUGUCUUAUUUUGGUAACUUCAUUAUAAAAGAAGUUGCACUAUUACAAAAUAAAUAAAUGCUUAAAAUGCAAUCAAUUCAACAACCUUUCUUUAUAUAUAUCAAGAGAAACCCAUCAGGAAAAGUACAUUGCAAAAGAAUCUUAAAAGAAGUUGCAUCAUUCAAUACAAAAUACAACAACCUAGUGCUCAAGAGACAACCACCAGCCAAAGUACAUUACAAAAGAAGCUUAAACAAAUUGUAUCAUUCAAUACAAAAUAUGCUAGAUAUCUUUUAACAACAACCUACUGCUAAGAUAAUCUCAUUGAACCUUUCUUUAUAUGUAUUAUCCCAAGCCAAUAGCUUAUAGCUAUUAGAAGUACAGAACAACAAAGCACAAUAAAUUUGAUAAUUCUUCCCCACUUCUUUUCUCUUUCUUUGAUCUUCUCAAUCUCUUCUUUCAACUUCUCUAAUUUCAUAUCAACACAAUUAUCAUCUUUUUUGAAUUAUUUGGGCUUGUCUACUUCAUGAGAAGCUUCCUCCGCAAAUUUGUUCAACUCAAAUUUUUCAACCUCAUUAACUGAUGUAUGAUUGUCAAUAUAUUAAGAAGACUCAACUAAAUUCUCAAGCUCACCUAAUUUCUUUAUUAGCUUAGGAAUCACAUAUUUGAACCUUGAAUUAAUAUCUUCUCUAUCCCUCCAACAUCAAAAGUCGCAAGAUCUUUAAAGAAUGAAUUAGUCUUUAAUCAAAUCUAUCGGAAUAAUAAAAGCAAAAAAUUUAAUAUUAACCCUAUAAUAAGGAUACGUCCAGUAUCUUCUGUCGGGAUUCCUCGAAAUCCAAGAUGUCUUCAUGUGCUACAAAAAUCCAUGAUUACAACAAACUUUUUGCUUCAAAGCAUUAUCAUUUUUCUUCCAUACAAAGUGUAGUCAAAUUAACUGACCUCAUUAUGUGUUGCAAGAAUAAAUUAAGGUUCUUCAGGAGCGCUUAAAUUUGAAACAAAAGAGAAAUCAAUCUCAAUUUUUGCUUAAAUUUUGUAGAUGAAGCAGAUUUUGGAUAGAUUGAGAAAGAAGAGGAGUAAAUUAGGAUUUUUUAGGAGAAAUUUGGGUAGGGUGAUUUGGGAAUUUUAUAACCGUUACUUAUUUAAAAGGAAAAUUUUAAUUUAAAAAAUAAAAUAAAAGGCAAAGUUACCUGUUACGCGACUUUACUUGAACUUCGAAGGAUUGAAUUUAAUUCAGUUCAAAGUUGUUAAGGGGAUAGAUAAUUUUAUGUAAUUUAGGAUGUAAAAUAAUUUAUACGAACAAUUUCAGGAGUUAAAUAAUG